UUCUUUGUAUCUUGUGAAGUUCUUUUGUGAAAGAUUUCUCUAUUGUGAUGAUUGUAUAUAAAAAGGGAAGUACAAUAGAGUAGAGUAGCCUUAGUCAUUUCUUGGUUUACCUGCUUUGGAUUCAUUUGUCGCACAUAUAAACGACUUCAGAAACAAAAUGUAUUCGCUCUAUCAAUUAUGUUUGAUGAUGAUCAUGUUGGUGGUUCUAAUUGCAACCGUUAUGAGUGGUGCAGAAGGUUGCAUAUUCAACUCUGAUUGUCCUCCCAGGCAUUUAUGCUUUAAUGGUCGGUGCGUUAUUCCCGCAUAGAACUAUGAGAUGUUGAUCUAUCUUCCAGCUUAUCCCAUGAUAUUCACAUUACCUUGAUGAAAUAUUACAAAUAUUUUAUAUUCCACAUGGACACAAAUUGUUGGAAAAAUUUUAGCAAUAAUUUGCAGUUCAUAAUUUUGUUACAAGUUACUACAUUUCUGAAAACAAUGUGAAUUAUUUGCUUGUGACUUGUAUUCUUUAUUUAAUUUGUCAUGUUUAAAAACAUUACGUGUGGUUUCGUUUUAUUGGCUGAACAGACAUUUUUAUGUUAUAAUAAAACUGUUGAA